rnacentral:sRNA from 1 species
GAGAAUGGGAAGAUACAGUGCAGUUGGAAGUGUUACUGAGAGAAUUUUCACAUUAUACUAUGAUCACUUGGGAUUCCUACAUAAGCUGACUCUGGGUCGCUUUGAAGCUAGUGGACCACCCACAACCUUUGGAAAUUCUAGAAAUCUUUUUGGACAGCCUCCAGAUAUGGGCUUUGAGACUGCGCUUGCCCCACAGCACACCUCCUUAGAUGAAAUUAUCUUUUUUGCAUAUGUACCUGAGAACGAACCCCAGGAAACGAUCUACAGCAAGAAGUUCAGCAAUAUACACUAUGGAAAAGUGAUACACUCUGGGUAGUGAUUUGCAUUUAUUUAGAUGGCAUAUUGGUUUCUAGAAUCUACUUUUUAAAUUUUUUGAGAUAGGGUCUUGCUCUGUCAUCCAGGCUGGAGUGCAGUAGUGCGAUGACAGCUCACUGCAGCCUCAACCUCCCAGGCUCAAGCAAUGCUCUGGCCCCAGCCUCCAGAAUAGCUGGGACUGCAGGCACACACCACCAUGCCCGGCUAAGUUUUGUAUUUUUUUGUAGAGAUGGGGUUUCACCAUGUUGCCCAGGCUGGUCUCAAACCCCUGAGCUCAAGGGAUUCACCCACCUCAGCUUCCCAAACUGCUGAGGUUACAAGUGUGAGCCACUGCACCUGGCCAAUAGAAUCUAAAUUUUUGGACCUACUUUUUUGAAUAAUUUUCUUGGUCAAAUAGAGUAAGUCUUUUUUUGACACCCUGCAAGGCCAAAUACAUUUAUAGACUCCAAGAUGUCUUGCAUGCUGCCCCAAUUUUAGAAACCUAGGACCAUUUAUAUCAGUGCCAUCAGGCCAAGCUAUAGAAAUGACAAUUCUUGUAUAUCCUAGAGACCAACACAUUUAAUGUAGUGGAGGCUAUCUUUUAUGAAAUAUUGCAUUGAACAAUAUACAGAAUUCUCGGAAAUGCUUACAGUAAGAGUCAAUAACCCUUAAAGCUACCUUUAAGGCCUAAUAACUUAUUCAGAAUAUGAAUUCUGGCUGGGUGCCAUGGCUCACACCUGUAAUCCCAGAACUUUAGGAGGCCAAGGCCAGCAGAUCAGUUGAGGCCAGAAGUUGGAGACCAGCCUGACCAACAUGGUGCAACUCCAUCUCUACUAAAAAUAAAAAAAA